rnacentral:rRNA from 1 species
GAUGAACGCUGGCGGCGUGCUUAACACAUGCAAGUCGAACGAGAAUCAACGGAUUGAGGAUUCGUCCAAAUGAAGUUGAGGAAAGUGGCGGACGGGUGAGUAACGCGUGAGGAACCUGCCUCGGAGUGGGGAAUAACAGUUGGAAACAGCUGCUAAUACCGCAUAAUGCAACGGAAUCGCAUGACUCUGUUGCCAAAGAUUUUAUCGCUGAAAGAUGAGCUCGCGUCUGAUUAGCUAGUUGGCGGGGUAACGGCCCACCAAGGCGACGAUCAGUAGCCGGACUGAGAGGUUGAACGGCCACAUUGGGACUGAGACACGGCCCAG